GACGAACGCUGGCGGCGUGCUUAACACAUGCAAGUCGAACGGAAAGGCCCUGCUUUUGUGGGGUUCUCGAGUGGCGAACGGGUGAGUAACACGUGAGUAUCCUGCCCUUGACUUUGGGAUAACUUCAGGAAACUGGGGCUAAUACCGGAUAGGAGCUCCUGCUGCAUGGUGGGGGUUGGAAAGUUUCGGCGGUUGGGGAUGGACUCGCGGCUUAUCAGCUUGUUGGUGGGGUAGUUGCUUACCAAGCCUUUGACGGGUAGCCGGCCUGAGAGGGUGACCGGCCACAAUGGGACUAAGGUACGGCCCAGUCUCCUACGGGAGGCAGCGGUGGAGAAUAUUACACAAUGGGCGGGAGCCUGAUACGACGGCGCCGCGUGCGGAAUGACGGCCUUCGGGUUGUGAACCGCUUUCGCCUGUGACGAAGCGUGAGUGACGGUAAUGGGUAAAGAAGCACCGGCUAACUACGUG
rnacentral:rRNA from 1 species